CUAACACAUGCAAGUCGAACGGUAACAGGAAGCAGCUUGCUGCUUCGCUGACGAGUGGCGGACGGGUGAGUAAUGUCUGGGAAGCUGCCUGAUGGAGGGGGAUAACUACUGGAAACGGUAGCUAAUACCGCAUAAUGUCGCAAGACCAAAGAGGGGGACCUUCGGGCCUCUUGCCAUCGGAUGUGCCCAGAUGGGAUUAGCUUGUUGGUGGGGUAACGGCUCACCAAGGCGGCGAUCCCUAGCUGGUCUGAGAGGAUGACCAGCCACACUGGAACUGAGACACGGUCCAGACUCCUACGGGAGGCAGCAGUGGGGAAUAUUGCACAAUGGGCGCAAGCCUGGUGCAGCCAUGCCGCGUGUAUGAAGAAGGCCUUCGGGUUGUAAAGUACUUUCAGCGGGGAGGAAGGGAGUAAAGUUAAUACCUUUGCUCAUUGACGUUACCCGCAGAAGAAGCACCGGCUAACUCCGUGCCAGCAGCCGCGGUAAUACGGAGGGUGCAAGCGCUAAUCGGAAUUACUGGGCGUAAAGCGCACGCAGGCGGUUUGUUAAGUCAGAUGUGAAAUCCCCGGGCUCAACCUGGGAACUGCAUCUGAUACUGGC
rnacentral:rRNA from 1 species